AUGAGGAGAUCCUCCCAGCAGCACUCCUUGCUCCCCUGCAUCCUCCUCCUCAUGCUCCUCGCCAUGUCACACCUGCCGAGCUCGAGCCAUGGCUUGAGAACGCUGAGGGAGGAAGAAGAAGCGGUCGGCGAGCUCAUCAAAGGCCAGCAUGAGCUCCCCCCGACCAUCUCCCCUACUCAAGAAGCAGGCGGCGACGACGUUGCCGCCGCCGACGACAUCGGCGCCGGGAAGUUCACCGUCUCGAGGAGAGCGGUUCCUCAGGGGCCCAACCCUCUGCACAACUGA
rnacentral:rRNA from 1 species